CGCAAAUUGCAGGGGAAUCACCACAAAGCAGCUUCCAUUAAUGAAAAUUAACGGCAAAAUUGGGAAUAACAGAAGUAUAUAAUUUGAUAUAAUCAAAAUCUAGAAAUGGUUCCGAUUUAAAGCAGCGACAGCAGCAACAUGAUAAAGGUAAAGAGCAUGAAUGAAAAGCAAAACUGAAAGUGAAAUUCAGCGGUUUUGUGAUAACAAAUGGAUCAGUACCUCCUGGUGAAGGGGAAGUUUUGUUGGACAGGGACAGGGUCAACCUGGGUGAUGCCGCUGAUUUCGUUGAGUCCGAGGGAGUGGAGCAUAUCCAUGGUUUCCUUGUCCACCUCGAUGUGCUCGGUGUUGAUGGCGGAGAUUUCGGGAACGAAGUCCAUGCGUCGCUCCCUCUCCUCCUCCUGCAGCUUGAGCGAGAUGCCGCGAACAGAACCCUUCUGGAUCCGUUUCAUGAGAUGUGUUGAGAAACCUGCGAUCUUGUUCCGCAGCCUCUUCGAGGGGACGAUCGCCACUUCUUCUAGAAGCUUCUUGUUCGUGUGAAAAUCCAGCGUCAUCCUCGAAUAGUAACGCUCGAUCACUUGGCGUGAAGAUUUCUUCACCGUCUUAGUCCUCACGCGCCCCAUGCUUCUUCUUCUUCUUUCUUCUUCUUCUUCCUCUCUGCGGCUUCUCUUCUCUUCUCUUGCAGUGUUACUUCAAAUUUAGGUUUACAUAUUUUAUCCCAAACUUGGGCUUUCUUACUUUGGGCUUCAACUUUUCAAAAAAUAUAUACAUUACUUUGUUUCUUCCUGUACCCCUUUUCUAUUCUUAUGUCACUCUCAUAAUUUAAAAAUAUAUAGGUUUUUUUUUCCUAUUUGUUUUUUGGAUUAAACUUUUUGAAUAAUACAAUUGAUGGUUAGAAGGUUAAUAAAUCUAAAUUUGUUAUAAAAUAAGGGUAUAUUUUCGUUAUAAAUUUUGGAAUAGUAGAUUUGGAAUUAUUUUUUCAUUUAGAUAACUUAAAUAAAUAUUUUUUUUACUUUUGUAACUUGGAUCAUGCAUACAUAGUUAACUCAAGUAAAAAUAGUUAAAUCAAUUUGACAGGUGAAUGUAAAUAAUAAUAUUGAAUCGUUUAAAUCAUUUUAACGCAAAUAUUAUAUGUAAUAAAUAGAAAUUAAAAAUAAGAAUUUAUACAAAUCAUAAUUAGAAGUAAGAAAUGAGCAUUAUAUUAGAAAGAACAAUUGAAAAAGAAAAGAAACUCAGAAUGAUGAACUCCAAAUAUUUACACUAGAAUAUAUUUUUUUUAUCAGAUAAUCUAUAAUAAAAUAUGAGAAUGUGAAAUAAAGGAUUAAUUGCAAAUAGAAAUAGUUAAUUUUAAUAAUAAUGUAUGAUACUUGUUUUGUAUAUGAGUUCAUUUGAAAUAUAAUGUUUUAUUUAUGUAACAUGACAUUAACACUAUUAAAAUACAAACAAAAAAUUAAAAACUGCUUCACAAAAAAAACAGUGACUAUGAAAAUGGUUCGAUUUGAUAUUUUUAAACUAAUUGGGGUCACACUAUUAAAUUGCAAAUUCUAGUAGUUUUUCUUUACGAAUAGUGGUGAUUAAAAGUUGUAACAAUUGUUAUCAUUUUGAAAAUAUAAAAUCACAUUAGCAAAACACAAAUUUAAAAAUAGAUGGAAAAUAAUACGAAUUCCCAGUACGUUUAUUCUUGCUUUUAAAAAUAAUUUUCAAAUACUCAUACAGAAAAAAAAAAUAUACAUCUUUUUUUAUUGGUUUUUAUAUAAAAUUUUUAAAAAGGGAUAAAAAAAGAACAAUUAUUAACUUAUGAUUAGCUUUUACAUUAUUAUUGAAAAGUGUAUUAUAUUAUUCCUUUUAGCAAAGAUUAAUUUUAAAUAUAUUUUCGGUAGUAUUAAUUAAUAUUGAGUUAUAAACAUAAUUUAUUUAUACUUAAAAGCUUUAAUUAUAAUUUUUUUUUUGGAUUAAAAUUAUGAAUAAAUUCAUUCUCUUAAAUAGGAUUCUUCUUCUAAUUUAGUUUACUUGUAUCUUAACUAAUUUUACUGGUAAUAUUGUAUUUGUAGUCAUAGUGGACGGACGGUCUAGUGGUUAAAUAGGGUAAAUGGUCAAGUAACUUAAGAAAGCAAAUCAGUAACAUCACGUGUAAUUAAGAUGAAGGUGUAAAAAGAGUAUGGUGUGAAUAUUUUAAACUAGACAAUUUGAAGGAAGUUUUUACUACACCAAUGCAUGAGUUUGAUAGGAGCGCCUACUGAUGUGACUGAGCCUUUGAUAAAUCAAGUUCAAGUGGCUUUUCUGAAUUACAAUGCAAAAAAUUGAGUAAAAAAAUAUUUAAUAAAAUCUACAAUAUCUCAUAAACAGAUUGAGAAACAUAUCAGUUGACAAAAUAAGAAGAAACAAAAUUGCAACAAAACUAGAAACAAAAUAUAAAAAUUCUAGAGAGUUGGAAACUAAGAAUUCAUCAAUAAUAUUUGAACCACGAUCAAAUUCCGAAAUCCAUGGAGCAAAGAAACUUAUAAUUACAGAUGUGGGAGGUAAUUCUCAUAUUGGAGCGUCAACUAUUCCGCCUACCAUUGUUGGAAUUAAUUCUGAUCAUAUUGAAAAUCAGGUUGUUUCAAAAUUUUGGGCUGACUCUACUGAGAUGGAGGAGGAUGAUAGUGAUAAUGGGGAAGAAACAGUUCGCACUAAAAGAAAACCAGGGAGACCACCUAAGGGGACUGGUAAAUCCAGGAAAACUGCUAAGGCAGUUCUCUCUACAACGUCGCAAUGAAGGUCUCUUCUUUUUUUUGGAAUGUCAGAGGAUUGGGAAACCACAAAACUGUGGAGAUGUUGCUUAGUUUACUUAAGCUACAUAAACCUCUCCUGGUUUUUCUUGCUGAACCCAUGAUGUCGUACACUACUGCUUUUGACGUCCUUUUCAAAUCUGUCAAUAUGCAUUUGGUGGCUACAUCUCCUAUUGUUAAUAAAGUUGCUAAGCUUUGGUGUUUGUCAGUUCCUAAUCUUGUCCAAAAUUUCUUGGUUAAUGAUCAAUUUAUCUCUGUAACUUGUCUUUGGCAGGAUAAAAGUUUUAGCUUUGCAGGUGUUUAUGGUGCUAACACAUACUUGUCUAGACGAUUUUUGUGGAGGGAUCUUAGUUUCUUCACAGGGCCUUGGUGUAUUCUGGGAGAUUUUAAUGUUGUGCUCUCGGCGGAUGACUAUAAAGGGGGAGUGGCUCCUAAUCAGGUUUCUUGUAAUGAAUUCCUGGAUUGGAUUAAUACUAAUGAUCUUUCUUGUAUGCCUUUUACUGGAUCUUGUUAUACUUGGUGUAACGGAAGGAGAGGGUGGCAUANNNNNNNNNNNNNNNNNNNNNNNNNNNNNNNNNNNNNNNNNNNNNNNNNNNNNNNNNNNNNNNNNNNNNNNNNNNNNNNNNNNNNNNNNNNNNNNNNNNNNNNNNNNNNNNNNNNNNNNNNNNNNNNNNNNNNNNNNNNNNNNNNNNNNNNNNNNNNNNNNNNNNNNNNNNNNNNNNNNNNNNNNNNNNNNNNNNNNNNNNNNNNNNNNNNNNNNNNNNNNNNNNNNNNNNNNNNNNNNNNNNNNNNNNNNNNNNNNNNNNNNNNNNNNNNNNNNNNNNNNNNNNNNNNNNNNNNNNNNNNNNNNNNNNNNNNNNNNNNNNNNNNNNNNNNNNNNNNNNNNNNNNNNNNNNNNNNNNNNNNNNNNNNNNNNNNNNNNNNNNNNNNNNNNNNNNNNNNNNNNNNNNNNNNNNNNNNNNNNNNNNNNNNNNNNNNNNNNNNNNNNNNNNNNNNNNNNNNNNNNNNNNNNNNNNNNNNNNNNNNNNNNNNNNNNNNNNNNNNNNNNNNNNNNNNNNNNNNNNNNNNNNUCCAUGCUGUGGUCAUGAGCAGGACUUCAUCAAUAGUGGGAUUCAUCGUCUACGGAUUGAUAAUGAGGUUACGGAGGAUCCUAAAAUCAUUAAGGAUCAUAUUUUGGACUUUUAUAAAAAUCUUUAUGCUGAGUCUAUUUCUAAUGUUCUGAAUGCUGAUAAUAUGGAAGAUUUUAUUGGUACUUAUAUUCCUCCUAUGGUUUCCUCUGAGGAGAAUAUGAUGUUGAUUAAAUGUCCUGAUUUUUCUGAAAUCAAGAAUGCGGUUUUUCAUCUUAACGGUAAUAGUGCUCCUGGUCCUGAUGGUUUUGGUGGUGUUUUCUAUCAUUCUUGCUGGGAAAUUAUUGGGACAGAUGUUUGUAAUGCUGUUCAACAAUUUUUUAAACAAAAUUGGGUUCUCCUUGGAAUGAACAGUAAUGUGGUAUCUCUUAUUCCUAAGAUUCAGGGUGCUGAUUCCAUUAAAGAUUACAGGCCAAUUGCUGUUGCUAAUUUCAAAUUUAAAAUUAUUUCCAAGAUACUGGCGGAUAGGCUUGCUCUUGUGGCUGCUAGAAUCAUUUCUCCUAAUCAAUAUGGGUUUGUGCAGGGUAGACAGAUUCAGGAUUGCAUUGGUAUUGCUUCUGAGGCUAUUAAUAUGCUUUCUAAAAAGGUUAGAGGAGGUAAUGUGGCUUACAAAGUUGAUAUUCAUAAAGCUUUUGACACUCUGAGUUGGAAGUUCUUAUUAUUAGUUUUGAAACGCUUUGGUUUUCACCCCUCGUUUGUCAGUUGGAUUAGUACAAUUCUCCGUUCAGCUAUGCUUUCUAUCAGAAUAAGUGGUAGUUUGGUGGGUUUUUUUCCCUGCAGUCGAGGUGUAAGACAAGGUGAUCCAUUGUCUCCUUUACUUUUUUGUCUUGCAGAGGAAGUUCUUAGUAGAGGUAUUUCUAAGCUUGUGAAUGAUAAGAAGAUUUUAAAUAUGGCUAGUCCGAAAGGUUAUCUCACUCCCUCUCAUAUUUUGUAUGCUGAUGACAUUUUUAUUUUCUGUAGGGGGGAUAUUAAGUCUCUUCGAAAUUUGAGUACUUUUCUUAAAACAUAUGGUGAUUUUUCUGGUCAAUAUAUUAAUAACUCUAAAAGUAGUUUCUUCACCAUGGAUAAUUCUCCAAGAUUUGUCACCAAAAUUCAAAAUAUUCUUUCUUGUAGUCAUGGUUGUUUGCCUUUCAAUUAUUUAGGAGUGCCUAUCUUUGUUGGUGCUCCAAAGUGUCGAUUUCUUCAACCUUUGACGAUAAAGUCAAAUUGAAGCUAGCAUCUGGAAAGNNNNNNNNNNNNNNNNNNNNNNNNNNNNNNNNNNNNNNNNNNNNNNNNNNNNNNNNNNNNNNNNNNNNNNNNNNNNNNNNNNNNNNNNNNNNNNNNNNNNGGGAAAUGCAUGUGCUGAUAAGUUGGCUAAUUUAGGGUUCAUUCAUAGACAAUCAUUUCAUUGGUAUAAUAGACUUCCAUCUAGUCUGUUCUUAGAAUUCUUUAUGAAUAGGUAUAGUCUACCUAUGUUUCGUUUUUGUUAACAUGUGGGUUUUGGUCUAGUCCCCCCAUAUUUUUGUAUUUUCUUUCUUUUUUCUUUUUUUAAUAAUACUUUUUUCAUGUGAUGGCAGAUGAUUGUUGUUACUUGAGAUGUCAGCCUAGCCGAGAUGUCAAGUUGCAUAGUGAUGCCUAACAUGAAAAAUUUUCAUUAAAAAAAAAAAAUCACAAAUCGUAUUAAUUCCCACUCUGGGAUAAGUUCAUAAAAUAGAGUCUUAGUUUUUUCUUUGUUUUCUUAUUGUCUUUUUUGUAAUUCUUUCAUUUUUCUUCCGUAUGGAAGGUUAAACUCUAUUAGUGUAAUUCUCUUAUAAUUUCACUAUUAAUUUUGAGGUUAUUGUUCAAUAAAGUUUUGUUUUAAAUAUUUUUUACCAAAUUAUACUAGACGAUAUGAUCUUUUUGAAUUUUGGUUUCUGUUAAGGAAUUGUGUUUUCAUGCUUGUUGAGUAUUUGGUUCUUUUCUUUAAUUGGAGUUCUUACUUAGUUCACUUAAUUCUAAUCAAUCUCUUGUUUGCUUAAUUUAAGAGGUAGAAGAUAAACAUUUCACGAGCAGACACUUAGAGACAAGUGAGAUACUGAAUAUGUCAAUAGACACUUAUUCUGUUGAUAAGAUUCUAUAGAAUUUGAUUGAGACUAGUUUGAUUAAGUUCAACUUUGUUUGAGAAUUGAAAGAAUCAUCAUCUUAUGUUAACCGAUGAAAGAUUCAAUGCUGAAAGAAAUUCCUAAUCAACCUGUUUUCUCUAUCAGUUUAUCCCGUCUUUUUACAUUAUCUGCUAAACAAUCUCAACAUUUUUUUCAAUUUACUGUUUUUGAUAACUUUUAAUGAUUGCAGAUAAAUUUUGAACAUUGAUUAAUUGAAUUCACUAUUGAAUUAAUUGACAAACUACUUGGAGUCAACUAAUUCUAUCUAUUAUAUCAUCUUUUAAUAUUAAACAAUCUAGCAUUGUGUUAGACAAUCUAUACUGGAAUUAUUUUUAUUUUGAUUGUAAAGGGACAUCCAUCAAAUUUGGCAUUGUUGUCGAGAAAUUCAGUUUGAAUUUGGUCCUCAAUUUUCCAAUUCACCUACAAUUUUUCUACAUUUCCUUAUUUAUCUGCAUAAUUUUUAAUUUUCUUUUUUUUUAUGUUUUACAUUCUACUUGUACAGAGCUUUUUCAAUUUUUGCAUUAAUCACAAUAUUAUAAAAAAAAAUAGUCUUUAAUAUAUACUCAUUCUUUAGGAACGUCUAAUAGGUUAUGAUAUGUUUAUACAAAUGUGUGUUUAUCUAGAGCAUGACUAGAACAAAUCCAGGUGAAUUACAUUUAUUUGAUCCAUAAAUUAAAUUUGCAUACCAUAGGCUAGCUAGACAACUUAGUAUACUUAAUCUUUUUAUUGAUAGACAAUAUAGCUAUAGAGCAUAUAAUUGUUUUUCAUCACCUAUUUCUACUUAUUAUGGAAUAGAAACUGAUAUUAUGGCUAAAAGAAAAUUGAGAGAACUUAUUGCACUAGAAGUUUCCAUUCAGACCUUAUGUAUUCAAUAUCCUGAUUCAAAUGUGCAAUGUGAAUUAAAAUUUGGUUUAAUACAUUUAUUGCCUAAGUUUCAUGGUCUAGUAAGUGAAAACAUACAUAAGCACCUCAAGGAAUUUCAUAUCGUAUGCACCACCAUGAGACUGUCUAGAGUCCUAAAAGAACACAUUAAGAUGAAGGAAUUUCCCUUCUCUUUGCAUGACACAACAAAAGACUAGUUCUACUAACUUACACUAGGAUCCGUCACUGGGAAAAUUUGAAAAGAACACUCUUGGAAAAAAAAUUCCCUACGUCUAAAGUGACUGGGAUUCGGAAGAAGAUAUGUGGGAUAAGGAAAUUGGAUAGGUGAAACCUAUAUAAGUAUUAGGAAAGAUUCAAGAGACUCUGUACAAGUUGCUCAUACCACCAAAUUCUUGAGAAAUUGCCAAUCCAGUACUUUUAUGAAGGACUAACAAUAAUGGAUAGGUAAAUGAUAGAAACUACUAGUGGAUGAACUUUAUUGUAUAAGAUUCCAGCUACAACUAGACAAUUAAUUCAGAACAUGGCUUCAAAAAUAGUUCAACAUUAGAAGUAACUUUGCAAUAGUAACUAAAGGGGUCCAUGAGACGGGGACUAUGUGUGUUGAUCACUCAAAGUUGGAAACGAAGCUAAAUUAUAUAGUGUCUAUGGUAAAACAACUAGUCAUGUCUCAAACAAUUGCUAAGGUAUGUGGUAUUUGUACUUUUAAUAAUCAUUAUAGCUUAAUGAAGGAGUAGUACUUAGUGCCCUCAAGCAUAGCCUACCAACAUUAACAAUAAUAGUAUAAUGUCCACUGGAUUUCAUUUUAACAGUAGAUUGUCUAAUUGAUGUGACUUGAUUUUAGAAUUGCAUAUGGUAUAGGUUUCACUUUGUUUAUGAUUUUUGAAUUAAGUAGAAUAUGGUGAUGAGCUCAAAGAAGAUUGUCAUUGGACACGAACUUAACCAAGUGGUUAAGUAAGUGUAAAGGUUAUCUUCUAAAGAGCAAAAGAGAAAACACAAUAUAAGGUGAAGAUGAUGAUGAUUGCGGAAUUAAAGAGCAUAAGAUAGAAAUGACCAAAUGUGAAAAGAGAAAUAAAGAACAUGAAUGGAAAGACAAGGCGUAAAUGAAGGAAGGAAAAAGAGAAAGAGUGAAAGAAGCUUAUGGAGGAGAUGACUAUGGAGGGGUCACACCACUUGGAAUGGUGGAUGGUUCCAAGAUGGGUGGUGAAGAGCCUCCACUUGAGGUGCACUACACUUAAGAUAAGACUUAAAUUCUAGGAAACUCGGCUUACUAAACACUCUGACAUAGUUUCUUUUCUAUUCAAAAUUUAAUGUGUCAUUUACAAGAGGGAAGGAACCCUAUUUAUAGAUAUGAGUGCCUUAGAGAGGAAGACAUGAAGGGUAGGGGUGUAAAUGACUACAAGCUUCUAGAAACUAGGUUAAAUGUGAGCACAUGGGGGAGUCUUCUAGAAUCUAGGUCAAAGGUGAGCACAUGGGUGAGUUUCUAGAAGCUAGGUUAAAAUGAGCUUUGGCACAAGUCCAAUUUACUAAGUACACCCUUUUCUAGCUUAAUUUUCUAAUUGAAGCUCAAAGUGAGCCCAAUUUAUUUACUUAACUUGUCUUGUAAGAAGACUACAAGGAAGAAUAGUUGAUAUUUUGGUUCAUGUUCGGUUCUCCUUCUGUUCAGAUUUGGUGGGCCUUGUCUUGUAUGUUGAGAUGACUGACCUAGUUGUGAAGAAUUUGUGGUGUCCUUAGCCAUUUGUUUGUCGAGUUGGUUUGUAUCACUAAUCAACAACAAUAAUAUAACCAUGAUCUGUCAUCCAAUAAAUACAACCCAGGUUGGAGGAAUCAUCCUAAUUUAAGUUGGGGCAAUAACUUAUCACAACAAUAGAAAUAAGCUCACGUGGCAUAUAAAUAAAAUGUUAUUAAACCUCCUUAAAAUAUAGCCUUUGCAUUUACGCCAACAAUUGCAACCACUGAUGUUAUAUCAUCCAAGAAUGGACUUUCCCUAGAAGACAUGAUGAAGUAGAAGGUUGAGCACAACAUGAAUUUCCAUUAGAGAAUGAAGAUAACCAUUUAGAACCUCAAAAAUCAUAUUGGUUAAAUUGCCACUAGUGUAAACUAGAUGGAAUCUCAAGGGACCAACAAGUUGUCUUCCCAGACAGUUAUCAACCUAAAAAAUAUUAGUGUAAUUAUGUUGAGAUUAUGGAAGAAUAUGUAAGAAUCACAACAAGUUGAGACUUAUAGCGCUAGACGAUAUGGCCAAACGGUCUAGUGAGUCUAAUACAACUGUAGAGGAACCUGAACAAAAAAGAGUUAUGUCUACUCCUCAGAGAAGUUCAACUUCUCUUUCAUUCUCUAAAAUAGUGAAUUCCAUAUCAUAACUCAAAUUUUGCUAAUAAAAAUUAGAACUCUGACAAUAGAGACCAACCAUCUACUAGUAAAAAAGAACCGUCUAUCAGUUUGGAACCCUCAUCUUUUUCCAUAGAGGUUUAAAUUAAUAAAGAGAUUUUGGAAACCUUCAGGAAGGUAAAGGUAAACAUUCCUCUACUGGACUAUAUUAAAUAAAUCCCAAAGUAUGCCAAAUAUUUAAAGGAUCUAUACACAUAUAGAUGUGUCUAAAAGGUAAUGAGAAAGUUAACAUGACCAAGAAUGUAUUUGCACUUAUUCUGAAAUGUAGGGCUGAAAUUCCAUAAAAAUGAAAAGAUCCAGGAGCAUUCAUUAUUCCUUGCAUCAUAGCAAUAACACAUUUGAACACAUUAUACUUGAUUUAGAAGCAUCUAUCAAUAUUAUGCCUUUAUUUGUUUUCACUUCCUUCUUUCUUGACCUUUUGGAAACUACAUGUGUUGAAAUCUGGUCAAUAGGAACAUAGUCCAUCCUACAAGACUUAUAUAUUAUGUGUCCAACCUAGCAUGUCACACAAUAGCAAUACACAAAGUUCACUUUCUCCUCUGUCCAUCUCUCAUUAUUCCUCCUUCAUCCUUAUUUCUCCUGUUGCAAGAUCCACUUACAAUAUAAUUCCACAUCUACUUUUGUCCUGUUUUUCAUAUCUAUUCUCCCAGGUACUAAAUUGCUACCCUCCAAUUAGGUAUUGCCUUUCUUUAUAUCUCUAUACGCUAGUUGUGCGAAUAGAUAAGUUUAUGUCAUUGGUAUGUUAAUACUCAGUUAUCCUAAGCCAUUAGUGGAUGUUUCUAAAUUUUUAUUUUGUUUCUCUUUUAUACCUUAUAGUCUACGUAACAACCCUUAUGACAAUACUUUCUCUCACUCUAAUGCAUCACUAAACUCCGAUAAAUAUAUAUAUAUUUUUUCAAUGACCGAUUAUAUUUUUGACAUAUAACUUGGAUACUUUUGCCUAGUCAUGUCCCUUUAUAUGUCAUCUCUUCAUAGAUUUUAUGUGAUGUACAUGAAUGUACCAAUCGAAGUAUGUGAAACUCGUCUUCAAAAAUUUGUGUUUUAUCCAUGUUCACACCCUCAUCUAUUGGUUACUAAACACAUUUUUCCUAUCAACCUUCUCAUUUCUACAUACAACAUUAUUCUUUUGAUCUCAUAGACUCCAAAUGACAGCUACCCACAUCCUUUUCCAUGUCAUAUUUCUUCUACCAUUAAGCUCAAAUAGAUAACAUUGUUGAAAGUUUUCUAUAGCUUGAUUAUGAUGCACUUACCCCUACACAUUUAUCACACAUGUUCCACUACCUAAUAACCACGUUACAGCCAAAGAACAAAUGACUAAUUGUUUCCUCCAUCUCUUCACACAUUGCACAUUGCUAAUUUGUUAUAUGAUUUAAGUUUACCCUAGUAACCACAACAUUUAGCAUUUCCCUCUAUGUAAAAGCUUGUGUUGAAGGCAGAGCAUUUACCUUCUGGAACAUAAUGAAUAAUCCUAUUCAUCCCCACUGUUAUUGCUCUACAGCCUUAGAUAAGCUAACUUUACCUUGUAUAAUUCAUCCUUUUCCUCUAUCCACACUCAAGUAUCCUCAUUUUCCCUUCCUAAAGAAUUCCUUUAUACCUUCUAUGAAAAAGUUAAUUCAUUCAAGUUAGUUGUUGGUUUCUUGUAUAAACUAUCGGCGAAUGAUCCAAAUUGUAGCAUUGUCACCAAGUGAUGCAUGGCCACCUCGAGACUCAAAUUCUGGAUAUUCAAAGAUAACUUACUGAACCUUUUUAUGAAAGUUUGAAGUGACUCACCUUUUUCUUGUCGUAUAUUGACGAGUGCAAUGGAUGUUAGAUGAUGUGGUCGACUGAUUGUGAAUUGAGUGUCAAACAUGGAUAAAAGUGUUAUAAAGCAAUCCACCAAGCAAUGGGGAAGCGUGGUAAACCAAUUGAGUGCCCAUCCUUUUACUGAGGUCGAGAAUACUCGGCACGACACCGAGUUGCCAGAUGUAUAAAGACUCAUUUGAGUUUUAUACACAUCCAUGUGCUUGUCCAAAUAUGUGGUUCUAUCAUUUAGAUCAAUGUUCAGCCAUUUUCAAUUAGGAGGAAGUUGUGCUUCCAUGAUCUAAUCAGAGAAGGGAUAUCCCUUAGGUUUUUCUUAAAAAACAAGAGUGCGUUCUGAUUGAUAGUGUCUAGAGGAUUGAUGAGUCUGAGUUCGAAUAAUGGUAGUCUUCUGAUUUUGUGUAUCCUCGGAUUUUUUCGGGGAGGCUUGUCUUCCACCUUCCGGAUCCAACCCUUGAGGCCCUGGUCCGGGUGGUGGUUUUAUCACUUUUGGGUCUGGCUUUCGUUGCCCUGGUCCGAGUGCGAUCCCAGCUAAUUGUUGCUUCAUUUGAUCGUUUUGCUCCUACAGGAUUCGUAUUUCCUCCUCAUUCUUCUAAUAGAGGGUUUGUAUCUCUUCCCUAUUCUUCUGGCGCAUUUUUGCCAUCUCUUUUUGUAAGGUUUGGAGCAUAACUAUUUGGUUGGCCUUGUCAUUUUCUCACUUUCCAUUUGCCUUGUCGAAACCAUUUGUGGCUUUUUAAGUCUAUCUCGGCAUCAUGGUGGGUGUAUAGGGCCUAGAUAGUACCUGCUACUGGCUUGAACAUUUGUCCCUUGUCCUUCGGUCGCUCCUCUUUCUCCUUCUUGUACUCGCUCUUUGGUACUCAGUCGGGAAAAAACCUGCAAAAGGUUCUCUGACGAUCAAGUAAGUGUUAUGUAUAAGAGUGAGUGAUAUAUUGAUAAAAACGUAAAAUAAUUAGACCUAUUUAUAUUGCUAAUAGUCGUAUCUAAUAUGCAUCUUUAAUAAAAUAGUAUUACUUGAUUUAUCGUUAUUUAUCAAAUUUAUAACAUAUUACCUUAAUUAUUGCAUAUCUUUUUACUCUCUAUUAAUGUACCAAUUUGUCUGGUUGGUUAGCUACUGACUUACUCAGCUCCGACCUAUACACUUUUAAUUAUUAAAUAAAUCACAUCACUAUAUUCAAUUUUCUUUAUAUAACUUUUGUGCAACUAUUGUUACGUAAAUUUAUUAUUAUAAUUUAGCAUAUAUACAAAACUAAUUUUAUAUUAAAAAAUAUUCAAUUUCAAUUGUGAAUUAUCUUUCAAAUUCACAUUUCAAAAUUAUAAUUUUAAUACUUUUCCUACUCUACGGUUAUUAGACUGUUCAAACCACGAUCAUUGAUUCACUCAUUGGCGAUAAUCAACCACUAAAAUACCUCCUGGAAUCUCGACAACACUCACGGAACAAUUCUAUUGAGAUUCUAGCUAGGCUCACAAUUUAUCUUCAAAAUUUCACUAUUUCUUUUCAUCAGUUUCUCACACGAAACAAUCCUACAAUUAUUUCUCAUUUUUAAUUUUUGUCACCACUUUUAUCAUAAUAAAUAUUUAUUUUUAAUAAUCAUUUUAAAUAUUUUUACUUUUCUAACGUAUUUAAAUAUCUUGAAAAACUCCAUUAAUUUUUUUUCAAGAUCUACAAAAUUAUUUAUUACCAUAAAAAAUGAAUAAAUAAUAAUAUUUUAUUUUAAAUUGUUUAAAUACCAAAAAUAAUAUUUAUUUUAUUUAAACCAUUAUAUUUAUUUUUAAACGCAUAAUUCCAAAAUUAUGAUUAUAUUUCCUAUUAUCAAUAUUUUCAGCUUUUAAAAACUAACAAUCACAAACUGAACUCUAAACAAUAUUUUUAAACCAAAUUUUAUUUAUCCUUAAAUAAUUAUCCCUCCUCUCAAACCAAUUAAAAUUGAUUCUCUAUUCUCAAUUAACUAUUUCGGUUAACUUUUCUCUAAUAUUUUUUUCAUUUUUUUUUCUUUCGUCCCUUUAAAACAAAAAAAAAAACAUCAGAUUCGUCCCCACAAAAACCAAAUUCUCGGGAUUCAAGAAUCGAAUUCGCAAAAUGAAGAGUAAAUCAAUUCAUUUCGGGAAAAAAAGGAGAUUUGUCCAUUUGGAAGAUUUUUUUUAUAAAGAUAUUGAUGUGGAUAUUCCUGCGUAAAAUGUAUUUUCAUAUUAAAUAUUAAAUACCUUGCAACUACCCUGUAAUGCUUGUGCUACUUUCUGAAGUAAGAACUAAAACAAACGAAUCAGAUUUUGGAACUAAAAUUAUAGUUUAUAACACGUUUUCAGCAUUAUUCUGGUUGAGAAAUUUGUAAAAAUGGACCAAUAUUCCAUUAAGCAAGCUCUAACACAAGUGCCCAAAUCCUAAUCGUGUUCAUGCUAGAAUUUCCAAUGAUUCAUUUGGGGUACAGAAAAAGGGUUCAUGAAAUUAGGUUUCAUCCACAGGGUCCUCUUAAACUGAGAAAAUUAUUCAAAUUUCCCACGAAAUUACGAGAAACUUGUUGGUUGGGUACUGGAGUGAGCUGAUGAAGUUUUUCUUGACCAUAAUUUAAGCGAUCAAAUGCUGGUUUUAAGAACUAAAACCUAAACCCUAAACUACGGAUCAAAAUCCAAUUAUCGAAAGCAACUAGGGUUAGGGUUUACCCCCAUUCCCCGCAAAUUGCAGGGGAAUCACCACAAAGCAGCUUCCAUUAAUGAAAAUUAACGGCAAAAUUGGGAAUAACAGAAGUAUAUAAUUUGAUAUAAUCAAAAUCUAGAAAUGGUUCCGAUUUAAAGCAGCGACAGCAGCAACAUGAUAAAGGUAAAGAGCAUGAAUGAAAAGCAAAACUGAAAGUGAAAUUGGGAGGUUUUGUGAUGACAGAUGAUGGAUCAGUACCUCCUGGUGAAGGGGAAGUUUUGUUGGACAGGGACAGGGUCAACCUGGGUGAUGCCGCUGAUUUCGUUGAGUCCGAGGGAGUGGAGCAUAUCCAUGGUUUCCUUGUCCACCUCGAUGUGCUCGGUGUUGAUGGCGGAGAUUUCGGGAACGAAGUCCAUGCGUCGCUCACGCUCCUCCUCCUGCAGCUUGAGCGAGAUGCCGCGAACAGAACCCUUCUGGAUCCGUUUCAUGAGAUGUGUGGAGAAACCUGCAAUCUUGUUCCGCAGCCUCUUCGAGGGGACGAUCGCCACUUCUUCUAGAAGCUUCUUGUUCGUGUGAAAAUCCAAGGUCAUCCUCGAGUAGUAACGCUCGAUCACUUGGCGUGAAGAUUUCUUCACCGUCUUAGUCCUCACGCGCCCCAUGCUUCUUCUUCUUUCUUCUUCUUCUUCCUCCUCUCUGCGGCUUCUCUUCUCUUCUCUGGGAGUGUUACUACAAAUUUAGGUUUACAUAUUUUAUCCCAAACUUGGGCUUUUCUUCUUGGGUGUUUCUUCCUACACCCUCCAUUUUUCUUCCUGCACCCCUAUACUUUUUAAAAUACCAAAAUUAGCAUUGUUAUUUUUAUUUAAAAAGACACUAUUCAUGGCAUGGCUACGUUUGUUUUUGUUCGUUGAUUGUUGGUGCUGUAGAGGGUAAUUUAAGUUGCACGAAGUAAGGGUGGAGAUGUAAGUGUUGCUUUGAAGGGUCGAUUGACUUUUAGAGUUAAGAAUUGAGUUUUGUUGAAGAGGGUUUGGUAGUUAUGGGGUUUAGAGGCUCUUGAAAAUCGGAUUCCAUGACUGAAUUAUGAACCAAGCAAUUUACAAUUGCGAAAAUAAGUACAAAAUGGCUAAUCCGUAAGUCAAGAUUAUGUAUUUUGAAUAGAGGGUGUUCCGGAAGCAUUUAUGUAUAAUGGAUUUGCAAAUCUAGAAAAGAAAAAAUCUUUACAAAAUGGUCGUUCGUUUCGGAAUGUAUAUUUUGACUUAUGGAUUGGUGGAUCUGGAAUACAUUUUUUCACUUAUAGAUUGGUGGAUCCAUAAUGCAUUUUUUGACUUAUGAAUUGGUGGAUCCAUAAUGCAUUUUUAGACUUAUGGAUUGGUGUGGAAUGCAUUUUGUGACUUAUGGAUUGGUGGAUUCAUAAUGCAUUUUUUUACUUUUGAUGUUUUGUUGUGGUUUUUAAUAAUUUGUUGAAGUUUUAUGGUAAGAUGUUAAUUUGUAGAAGUAUGAAUAAUACCGAAGGAUUUGAACAAUGAUUAUAUGAUAAGGAUCAAUAUAUAAGCAUACAUUAUGACUAUUAUAAAUGCGGAAGAAGAAAUUCACUCACAAUCGUGUAAGAACUAACUUCAUUACCAUUAAAAAUAAUAAUGUAAACAAAGUGUUCCUUCAUCAAAUUACAAAAUAGAACUACAAUUAAAAACAUAAAUAAUACAAAUAAUCAUUGUCGUCUAUGUCGUCGUCUACGGACAUACUUAUCACACCAUCCCAUAAUUAUCUUAUCACAUGAUUUUCAUAAGUUAUUAUCGGUGAGUGAGUCACUAGACAUCUAGGAUAACUUUUACUCUCUACUUCGAGUUCGCAUUCAUUCUCCACCUCCAUAUGGGGUUGGGCUUCUUCAACUUCAUGUUGAAUAUGUUUUUCAUCUUCAUUAACAUGUCUUCUUCUACUAACAGAGUUUAUGGGUCGUACAUGGUCACCUUGUAAACCUCUUCCUCUAGUCUUCACCAUUUUUAUUUGUGCACUUACAUUAUUAAAAUUAAAACAAAACACCUCACAAAAUCUGCCGAAUGAAUCACCUCACAAAAGAAACCACCAAUAACAUCCCAAUGUACUGCCACUCCUUGCCAUUUAUUUUCUCUCUGAAAAAGGUGCACAACGAUUGUAGAGAAGGAAGGAAGAAAGAAUGACCGUGGUAUGGUGCUUUAGGAUUUUUAAUAAGUGCCAAAGAUACUUUUGUAAUUACACAUGAAUGUAGGGAGUGUAGGAAGAAAAAAUGUAGAGUGCAGGAAGAAACACCAUUUUUUUUUUCACUUUUAGCUUCAACCUUUAAAAAAAACACUAUACCAUAUUAUAAAAUAAUUUUUUUUCUUAUUAUUUUUUGGAUUAAACUUUUCUGAAUAUUAAAAUUGACAAGGUUAAUAACACAAAAUUCAUUAUAAAAAAAUAUAUCUGUGUUAUAAAUUUUGAAAUAGUGGAUUUAGAAAAAAAAAUUAUUUAGAUAAUUUAGGAUAAAUAUUUUCUUUUACAGGAGUUAGAAGAUAAGACUGAUAUUUAGAGAGAUCUAUUUAAUAAGUGAGUCUCAAUAAUAUUCGUAAACUCACUUAGCAUUUAAACCAUUUUAAUACAAAUUAUGAGUAAUGAAUAAAAAUUAAAAGACAAUUAAAAAAAAAAAAACUCCAAAAAGUUUGACAAGAAAGUAUUAGUUGAAGAAAAAAAUAAUUUAUUUUAAUAAUUAUUAAAUAAAGAUUAAUUUUAGAAAUAAAAAGUAAUUAAUCAUUAUAUUAAUUAAAUUAUAUAUUAUUUUAUAAACUAAAAUUUUGUUUAGUAUUUAAAAUAGUUUCUAUUAUUAUUUAGUUUUCUUACAAUAAUUUUAAGUAAUUAGAUAAAUAACAAAUAUAUUUGAUAGAGGUCCAAAGAAAAUAAAUAACAUGAACAUGAACUUGAUAUUUAGUAUUUAAUCUUUACAUAAUAGACAAGAGAAGAUGUUGUGCAAGAAAGUUUUGGAUUGUGGAGCUGUGUGUGGCUUUGCACAAUGAACAAUUUCAGAUCCAUCAAUUCUGCUUUGCUUUGCUUUCUCACACUCAUUCAAGAAUGUUUGAAAUGCAUCUUCACAGUAUUUUACUGCCUCUGAAACAGUUAAAUUCUGUGUUAGUUUGGGGUAUGUACUCUUAUUAUGAUCCCCAUUUAAAGUUGCUGUCAUGUAUAUCAGUUCUUCCUGAAAUUCACUCAGUUCUGCAUUUUCAUCACCACCAACCUCUCUUAGUUUCACAGGCUCGGGCAUUUUCACUGAAAUUUGUCUCAGAAUUAGUCAAAAUGGAAAAGAAAAAUUGCUAAAACAUAAUUUGUGUAACUGAAGAUUCUGCAUAAUUUUAUAAAAUCAUUGUAGAAAGAGAAAAAAAAAGAUAUUUGACCUGGACAAUCAGUACGUGGAGUGGUUAGAGAUAAGAGAUUUUCAAAUGUUCCAGCCCAUGCAUCACGCUUUGUCAAGAACUGAGGAAGAUUGAAUAUUUUCUUCACAGUUGCUGGUAUUGAUGAAUGUUCAUACUGUGAUGUUGGGAAUGGCCCAGAAGGUUCAUGCAACACUGUUUACAACAUUCAUACUCAGUUAAUAACUAAAACAUGUUUCGAAAAUGAGUUCAUAUUUAUAUAUAUGUUUUGAUCACACCUUUUCCUGCUUGAAUCCAUGGAGAAAUAAUGAUGGUAGGAACCCUAACACCCAGUCUAUCAAACUGAAACUUGAAUGGUGCAGGACCUGCAAUGUCAUCUGGGUUUGGAACUCCAUCCACAGGUGUUGGCACAUGAUCAUAGAAGCCUCCAUGUUCAUCAUAUGUAAUCACGAACAAUAUUUCAUUCCAUUGAGGACUUGUUCUUAGUGCCUCAUACACUUCUUUCACAAACCUUUGUCCCUCACCAACAUCAUGAGAUGGAUGAUCAUCAUUUGCUGCCACUGAUAACAACUCAAAAUAUCUUUGCUCAAUCACCACGUAGUUUUCCAAUCUCCCUUCUUCACAAUGCUUCUUGAACUUUAAAUCAAACAAAUGAAAGUUGUCUAUGUAUUUCACUUUCCUCAGGUUUCUGAAAUUCCUCCAAAAAUUCACUUCUCAAACACUUGUAUUUUCUCUUAAUUUGUAAACCAACUAAUACUAUUAUUAAUACUAAUACAAUCCACUUAUAAUUAAUCUUUAUCAUAAACCUCUCUCAGUAAUUUUUUUCUAUCACAAGACUGAAUCUGAGAGUGAAGCCAUUAAUAUAUAUAAAUGCUACUUUACAUUAACUUUUUCAUUAAUAAAGGAAAGAAACACAGGUUAUGUCAAUGUAAAGGGAAACAUUCAGAAUAUAUAUAAAAUAUAAAAUAAUUUUGGAAUCUAAAUAAGGGACAUGUGAAUUACAGAGUGUAUUUCUUUUUCUUUUUCUUCUAAUAUUGUGUUAGUUUAUUUUAUGGGAUUUUGAAUCCAAAGUUUUUGUUUUGCAGAGAAACACUAUAUAAUCUUCAUAAAUCAUUAUAUAAUUAAGAUAAACUUAUUGAUUUCAUAAUAAUUAUUUUGAAAAUUAUAUCAAUAAUAGUUUACAAUUAAAUAUCAGACAGAAUUGUCGAACUAUCUAUUCCUCAAUAAUAUGCAUACACGAGUUUAACUAAAAAAAAUGAUAUUUAAGAAGCAACAAAAAUAAUAUUAAUAUUCUAAAUUAAAAUAAAUAUGAAAAAGAAAAAUAUUUCAAAUUUAAAAAUAAUAAUUUAAAUUUUUAACUUUUCAUGUAUAAUUAAUGUAGAAAAAAUUACUGUUAAUAAAUUACACUUAUCUUAAAUAUAAUUUUUUAAAACAAUUAUACAAAAAAAGGUUACCAGUAAUUAAGAUAAUGCAUAAUGAUUUCAUAGCAAGAUGAAAGUGUAAAAUAACAUCUCAAUAUAAUGUAAUUGAAUUUUUAUUUAAAAGUUAAAUUUAAAACAAAAUAAAAAAUAUUUUUUAAUUAUUAGUAACAACAAAUCUUUGAAUUUUGAAUUUCAAUAAUAGAACCCUCAAAUCAAUUUUAAGUUUACAUCUGAUUCAAUAUUUUUUAGAUUUAGCUAAAAUAAAAGUUUUCUUUAAACUUUAAUUAACUUAGUAUUUAAAAUAAAUAAAAAUUAAUUAAUUUAAAUAAAAUUGAAGUAAAGUUAAUUUUGGAUUGAAAGUAAAGAGAGGAAAAGUGAGUAACCUAUAAAAAAGAGUGGAUGGUGGGUAUUGGUAAUAUAUUCCAAAACUGAACCCAUUUUCGUCCAAAGAAUCAAAUAUAGUCUUCUGUGGUAAACCUCCAAUGAGUUUCUGCGUGUCCUGAGUGGUCAACCCAUACGACGUCGCAGAGUGAACGUAGAGCCGGUUCGGUUGGGUCGGACCGGGAACCGAAGCAAACCACCGAUCACACACCGCAAACUCCUUAACCAACUCUCUAUAAACCGGUAAAAGAUCCGGUUUGUACCCGUUCAUCACCGUCUCCGCCGUUGAUCCCUUCUUUUGCUUCACCGAGUUUUGGGCGAACCCUUCCAUUCUCGCCGACACUUUCUUUCUCGUCGAGGACUCGCUCCAUGGCUCGCCGAAAACUUGCUCGUACACAUCCUCGACCGUGUGACCCGGGUCCGGUUCAACAAAAUCAGACUUGUCGGAAAAAUAAACCCGGUUCGAGCUUGGCUCCAAGGUGGAAAUCGGGUUUGACUCCGAACCGGUGACCCCAUCGAUUUCCGGGUUGAGGGACUUCAUCCAACCCAACAUGUGGUCAAAUGAACGGUUUUCUUGAACCAAAACGACGAUCGUUUUGAUGGGGUAAGGCCAUGCACUACCACCAGAUCUUGAAGACAUGUUCAAUUAUGAGUUUUGUUGUGGCAAAGUGAUGAAUUCUCAAAAUAGAUGGUGAUAUAUAUAUAUAUAUAUAUAUUAUAAUGCAGAUGGUUUAGCUAGCUCACACCUAUGUAAGAAUUAGGUGAUGAUUCUUUAUCUUUUACUUUGAAAUUUUAGUGGAAAAUUGAUUCUAGUUGUGGGCUCAAUUUGACCUAAUAAUUGAUAAAUUUUUCAUAUUUGACCUAAUUAUUGAUAAUUUUUUCAUAUUUUUUUUAUUUAAUUACAUUAUACAAUGAUUUAUAUGGUACUUUUUAUUAUUAUUAUUAUUAUUAUUAUUAUUAUUAUUAUUAUUAUUAUUAUUAUUAUUAUUAUUAUUAUUAUUAUUAUUAUACUGUCUCUCUGUGAAAUAGCUUGUUUUAAUUUAUGCUUUCCAUUACUUUUUAUGUGUCUUAAUUAUAUUUUUAUUGGUUGAUGUGAUUUCUCUUUCUUUGGUUUAUCUUUCUUUUUUUCUGAUUAGACAGAGAAUCUGCUUUCCUUGUUGCACCCACUAAUUGAGGAAGAAUCACGAGUUUAGCUAUGUUAAUUAUUGAGAUUCAUAGUUUGUUUUUCUAAAUACUUCAAUUAUCAAAUUAUAUUUAAAGAAAUUAUAACAAUUCUUUUUAAAACAAAUUAUAUAGUAAGUUCUUUUUAUAUCUGGAGUUUCAGAAAAUAAAAUAUCUGGCAGAGACUUGUAUUAGUUUACUAAACUUUUAUGAAAGAGUGAGAUAUACGAUUAAACUCCUUUGUAAAGAAAAUUUAUGAGAAGUUGUGAAGAAAUGAAAUGAAGGGCCCAAAGUGGAGAAAUUUGACCAAAGAAGAAACAUGGGAAAUAGAGAUAACUCUUUGAUUGGUGAUAUAUUUAGAAUUUAUAAUCUAUCUUUUUUUUUCUAUAAAUGUAAUUUAUUAGCUCUUCCUUCUAUAAGAGUAAAAUUGUAACAUCCAAUUGUUUAUAUUAUCUUAAGAAAAAACAUUUAUAAUUAGAGAUUUGUUUCUGUCGGAAAUGAAUUUAGAAGAUAUUUUAAAGAAGACGAGAUAUUUAUUUGUAAGUAGAUUUUCAGUUAGACUCGACCAUUCGAUACUUAAGUAAGUAGAAGCUCAAAGAUGAUAAUAAAUACCUAAUAAGAGAGUUAAAAUUAUAUAAUAGGAUAAAUUAUACUUUCUAGAAAGAGUAGAUAUUUAUAGAUUUUUUGGGUGAGGGACUUUAAUUGGUUCGUAUGAUGACCAUUUAUUGCUUAUUUAUUCAUGAUUAUAUUAAUAAUAAUGAGUGGUUGAUUAUAGGAUUUAUACCAUCACCAUUUUAUACCAUCACCAUUGUUUGACAUUCACGACCUUCUAUAGAAAUCUUAUGUUUAGAAAAUUUUUAUAAAGAUAAUGAAAAAUAAAAGAUGGUCUCAGUUAAAGGUUUGGAUAAUAAAUACUAGGUUUGUACCACCAAUAUUGUAUAAUAAAACGAUAGUGAAAAAUAGGACUAAUUAACGUUAAAUUAUUGUAGGUAAUAAUAAAUUUAUCUACAGAAGAAAAUAGGCUAAUUUUUUUGUGUUAUUUAAUUCAAUUUCACAAAUUUAAUUAUUUGUAAGUGGCGGUUGAUUUUAAAUUUUAUAAAAAUGAAGUGACAAAUGUUGUGGCCACGAAUUGUUUUGGUUUUGGUUUUGGAAGUAUUGAAAGAUAAAUAAUGAUGAUGAAGGCCACUUGAUUAUAAAAGUGGUAAUCUUAUUAAAUACAUCGUCACUUGACAUGAAGAAAUUCAUAAGAUUAACAAAAUAAUAUUGAUAAUUAAUAUUAAUACUUAUCAAUGACCAAUUUUAAUUCUCAUGUCCAACUUCAGCAAUAUCAUUUUCUGGACACUCUUUUAAAGUGAAAUUUACGUGGUUACUUUAACUUUUAUAUAAAAGUAGGGGUGACAAAGCGGAUCAGUCUGUCCCGCUUAAGUCUGCAAAAUGUGGACUAGUUUUCAUGGUCCGCGAGUUUGUGGGCUGACUCGCAUUUUUUUUUUUGAAACGUGAAAGAGGAGUGGAGGUAGUAGUAGUGUGCAACAAUGGAGCGGCGCGAGCGGCAGCAACACGACAGUUGCAGGCGAAGCCGCACGAAGUCGCAAGCGGAGCGAGCGACGACACUGCAACGGAAAGUGCGUCGUGUGUUGUGUGCGUUUUUUGGAACAGCAUAGCUGCGUUGUGUUGAGUGAAAACCUAAUUUUCUUUCACUCAAAGUUACGACUCUUCUACUGCCAAGUCAAUUUUUUCUUUUUUUUUACAGGCCAACCCGCCUCGUCCCACUGCUGGCCUGCGCGGGUCGCGGGUUAUGCGGGACAGACUAAUGCGAGUCGAGCUAAUGCGGGUCAACGGGUUGAAAAGGUCAGCCUGCCUCGCUUUGCCACCCAUAUAUAAAAGUAAGAGAAUCCAGUAUAAAUUAUUAUUUGAUUUCUUUUAACUUUAAAACUUUGUUAUAUCUCGUAAAUCAAUAAAUAAAAAAUAAUUUUAGAGACCAAAAUAAUUAAUUAUUAUUUGAUUAAAUUAGAUACUAUUUUAUAAAAAAAAAAAUUAUUAAUAUCUGAAGUAGUUUUUUAUUAUUAAUAAUAAUUUAUAAAAUAAUUUUAAAAUUGAUAUCUAACUAUUAGUUACUUACUCAUUUAUAUUCUAAAUUAUUCUCUAUUAGUCUUUAAGAGACUAAUUUAUAAUAUAAAAUAGUAGUAGCUAAAAUAGCUAAUUUAGAUACCUAUUUAUAAACUAUUUUAUAAUUUUUUAUUAAUAACAUAAAUCACUUUAGAUACAAAUAAUUUUUUAUUCUCUAAAAUAGUAUCUAGUUUAAUCAAUAUAGUGGUUAAUUAUUUUUUGUGUCUAAAUUUAGUUGUUAUUUAAUGAUUUUCUUAUAAUUAAUAAAAUAAUUAAAAGUAAAUUUAGAAGUUAGAAUAAAAAAUCAUGUGUUCCUAUCCUAUUAUCAAAGUAUAAUUUUAAAUAUUUUGAUGAUAGUAGAAGAAUAAAAUAUCUACAAACAAAUUUAGAGUUAGAAGGAAUUAUUGAAUACUCAAAGAUAUUGAUGUUUAAUAGUAAAACUUAGAGAAUCUAGUUAUUGAAGAAUUGAUGACUAGUUAUUUUUGUAUGAGUACAUUAGCAUGUAUAGAUGCAAAUUGAUAUGUGUAAGUUAUUAAAAGAUACAUGAGAAGUAACUUUAAUGUAGUUCAAUCUCAUGCUCUUGCUUGAUGUUUACUUAAGUUAUACAUGUUUUAGUGAUUAAAAUUAUAUCUUUUAUAUCUCAAUCAAACAAAUUGAAAAUAAAAUGAAUCAUUGUGAAUGUGUAUAUAAAUUAUAUAUAUUAUUUGAAUAAAUGUAAUUGUAAAAACAACAUAGUAUAAGUGAGUCAUUUCAAAGCCUCACUUAUCUGAUUGCAACCAAAUUGGACACUACAAGAAAACCAUAAAAUAGAAACCAAUUUGUAGAAACCAAAAUAAUUAGUUGCAAUAGUAACUAAAUUAGAGACCAUUUUAGAAACUAAAAAGAAAUUUGGUUUCUAAAUUAGUUUCUAUUAUUUUCUGUUAUUGUUAAAUAGUUUAUAAAUUGGUAUCUAAUUAGCAACUGAGGUUUUUGCUACCAAAUUUAGAAACUAAAUAAUUGAUAGUUAAAACCUUAGUUGCUAAUUAGAUACCAAUUUAGAAACUAUUUAACAAUAAUAGAAAAUAAUAGAAACUAAUUUAGAAACCAAUUUUUUUUUUAGUUUCUAAAAUGGUCUCUAUUUUAGUUCCUAUUGUAACUAAUUAUUUUGGUCUCUAAAAAUUGGUUUCUAUUUCAUGAUUUUCCCAAGUUGCAUCCAUAUAUUGAGUAGCUUUAUUUUUACAUCUAUUUGAGUUUUUUUUUUUUUUAGUUAGUUACAUUUUCAUUACUCACUUGUUUUUAUUUAUUCUUAUCCUUUAUAAUCUUUGUUCUUAUUUAUCCUUUAUAGUAGUCUUUGUUCCUGUUUUAUGUGAGGAAAUAAUCUAGCUAAUGAAUUAGAGUUUGAUCAUGAAAUAAAGAUGAUAAUUAAGAGAGACAACAAGACAAAUAAAAAUAAACAAUUAAAAAAGUAAAGACAACACCUUACCUUUAAUAGUUAUUCACUACAAGAAAAACUCAAAUUACAUACAGCCAAUAUCCGUAUGUAACACACAAAAUCCGUAUAUAAAACCUAUUUACAUACGGAUUAUAUACGGACAAAAAUCCAUAUAUAAAACUGUCGUAGGUAACUAUUACAUACGGAUUUUUGGAUCCGUAUGUAAUUACAUACGGAUAAAUCCGUAUGUAAAAUUCGUAUGUAAUUACAUACGGAUAAAUCCGUAUGUAAAAUCCGUAUGUAAAUCCGUGUGUUAUUACAUACGGAUAAAUCCGUAUGUAAAAUCCGUAUGUAAUACAUACGGAUAAAUCCGUAUGUAAAAUCCGUAUGUAAUUACAUACGGAUAUAUCCGUAUGUAAAAUCCGUAUGUAAUUAACAAGCAGACCUACAUACGAAUUUAUCCGUAUGUAACAUUGUACACAGCACCAUCAACUAUUUGUAUUUGGAAGCACCCCAUAUUCUACACCUGCAUAUCAUCCAUCAACAUUCCAGUUUUCAGAAGACAAAUAUUCAUCACAUUCAAAGUUAUCCAUACAUACAAUACUUACUAUUUUCCAAUAUCUAAAUAUCUAAAAUGUAUUUCAUUAAAACAAAGUUCUAGAGAAGCUAAUAAUUAUUAUAAUCUUCACCGGGUGAAUUUUGUUGUUCAUCAUGAUUAUUAUGAUGUUGUUGGACUUCAUUUGACUGCUGAUUCGGUUGAGUUGGUGGCGGGGUAUUUGGUUGCUGAAAAAACUGUUGUGCUGCAGCUGCUGCCUCAGGUGGUAGAUAUUGCAUCAUGAAAUUUUGAAAGUUUUGAAACCUUGCAUCCAUGCGUUCAAUAUGCUGCCUAAGUUCAACAAUUUCUUCUGAAUUAGCCUUGUUAUUACUAGAAGAUGAUUGUGUUUCUUGUAUGUAGCGACCAACACAGUCGUCCUGACGAUCAACACGUCCAAUCCCAUAUACUCGUCCCUUGUACCUUCCACCUACAGUUUCUAACCAACAACGGCUUCUCAAUCUUUCCUCCUCAGCAGGAUCUAAUGAAGUAGAUAUUGAGGUAGAUUGUGACUCAGAUAAUGCUUGAGACAAUCUACUUUCAAAAUCUUCCUAUUAAAAUGAAAAAUAAUUGUUAUCAUACCAAUUAAGGUAGAUGAAAAAAAAAGUUUAAAAAAACUAACAUGAGUCCGCCUUGAUCUAUCAUCAACAAAAUCUCCAGUGCUCUUCCGUAUAUGUGUUUGUUGAAACACUUCAUAAACAUGGACCGAGCGGCCNNNNNNNNNNNNNNNNNNNNNNNNNNNNNNNNNNNNNNNNNNNNNNNNNNNNNNNNNNNNNNNNNNNNNNNNNNNNNNNNNNNNNNNNNNNNNNNNNNNNUAAUUAAUCAUAGAUUAAUAUAAAAAAUUUAUAUGGAAAUCAUACCAAACGAAUAGUGUGUUCAUGAACAUUAAUAGAUCCUCCAGUGUGCAGACAUCCACCUUUUUCAGACAAACGAUUCUUUUUAGCUGUAUCACAUUUGGAUCGAUACACAGCCAUGUUCCAGUGUUCUUGGAGGCUGUUCCAAACAUUAUUGCCAAUCCAUUCUGGUCGUUUACCUUCUUGGCGAGCAUCUUUAAACAUUUGUGAAAGGGUGUGAGAAGCUUUUGUAUGGAAAUUUUUCUUAACUUUUUCCUCAUCCUCAGCCCUCCAAGUGACCUUCCUCUGCAAAACAACAAGAAUCAUCAAUCCAAAUUGUAAAAUAUAAAAUAUUUAAAGGGAAUAAAAAACAAGUACCUUAAAANNNNNNNNNNNNNNNNNNNNNNNNNNNNNNNNNNNNNNNNNNNNNNNNNNNNNNNNNNNNNNNNNNNNNNNNNNNNNNNNNNNNNNNNNNNNNNNNNNNNNNNNNNNNNNNNNNNNNNNNNNNNNNNNNNNNNNNNNNNNNNNNNNNNNNNNNNNNNNNNNNNNNNNNNNNNNNNNNNNNNNNNNNNNNNNNNNNNNNNNNNNNNNNNNNNNNNNNNNNNNNNNNNNNNNNNNNNNNNNNNNNNNNNNNNNNNNNNNNNNNNNNNNNNNNNNNNNNNNNNNNNNNNNNNNNNNNNNNNNNNNNNNNNNNNNNNNNNNNNNNNNNNNNNNNNNNNNNNNNNNNNNNNNNNNNNNNNNNNNNNNNNNNNNNNNNNNNNNNNNNNNNNNNNNNNNNNNNNNNNNNNNNNNNNNNNNNNNNNNNNNNNNNNNNNNNNNNNNNNNNNNNNNNNNNNNNNNNNNNNNNNNNNNNNNNNNNNNNNNNNNNNNNNNNNNNNNNNNNNNNNNNNNNNNNNNNNNNNNNNNNNNNNNNNNNNNNNNNNNNNNNNNNNNNNNNNNNNNNNNNNNNNNNNNNNNNNNNNNNNNNNNNNNNNNNNNNNNNNNNNNNNNNNNNNNNNNNNNNNNNNNNNNNNNNNNNNNNGGUUAUAUAAGUUUAUUAAUGGAGAAAAAUAUGUUGAAUAUAGUUUAAUAAAAAAAUUGAAAUAAACAUGUAAAAAUUUCAUCAGCAAACAUAAAGCUCAAAUUAAUUGGAGUAAUAAACAGUAUGUUAACAACAACAAUACAAUACUAGUUCGUACAAUAGAUAUUUUUGUUAACAUUGGCUUCCUAAGUCUAUUCAGAGCUAGAGAUGUCAAAGUCAUCUCCAUAUUCAUCUUCACUUUCUCCCUCUUCAUUGUCUUCUUCCCAUUCAUUUGUUUCUUCAUCUAUCUGAUCUUCAAAUGAUGAUACAUUGUUUAUGUCCACUUCUUCAAGCUCAGCCUCUAAAUCUUGUAAUCCUGAAACCCUUUCAACUUCAAUCACUUCAUUAACAUGUGACAUUUCAUCAACUUGAUAUGGCACUUCAACUUCUACAUCAUCAGAAUCAAUACGACCUCUGGGCUUCGUUUUGAUUGCAACACACCAACCACGUUUGUCUUUGCAUGAUGUUGCAUAUGGUACAUAAUAAACUUGUCGAACAUUAUGUGCAUUGAUAAAAGGAUCAAAUGGCACAUAUCUUCUAUCCAUUUGAAUAUCCACAAUACCAUAUUUGGAGUCCACUCGUGUACCUCUUGUUGAUAGAUCAAACCAAUUACAGUAAAAUAAUACAACUUUGUUAUCUGAGGUCAAAGAAUUGUACUCCACCUCAUAUAUGUGUUGAAUCACACUGUAGAAAUCAUCCUCACCUCCUUCUGUAAGACCCUUUACAUGGACCCCACUAUUUAUUGUUUUCUUUCCCUCGCUCCAUGCAUGAGUGUGAAAUUUGUACCCGUUCACAAAGAAGGUGUGCCACUCUUUUACACACCUUAAAGGACCAAGUGAUAAAUCUCUUAAGUGUUGGUUCUUCACAUUUAAAGGGUCUUUAUGAACCUAUAAAUAUAUCAAUGUCAUUUAUUUUUUAUGAAAUGGUUAAAGAAGUCCAAAAAAAAGUAAAUNNNNNNNNNNNNNNNNNNNNNNNNNNNNNNNNNNNNNNNNNNNNNNNNNNNNNNNNNNNNNNNNNNNNNNNNNNNNNNNNNNNNNNNNNNNNNNNNNNNNUAAACCACAAAGGAAAAUCUGUAUGUAAACGAGCCGAGGCAUGUGAUUCGGAAAUUUCAUUACAAUGUAGAAAAGAGCUGUGAAUAUAUAAGUGUCAAUGCAUUUGGUACCCGAUAACUUAAUGAAUCAAUAACAGUGUUUUAAAAGAAUAUCUUGCAUGAGACUUACUCGAGGUAUGGUUUAACUUCAUUACAGUUGAUCAAAAUAUGAACAUGAGCUGAGUUCAAUUCUUCAUCAGUUAACCAACGAGUGAUCUUCCUCCCAGAAUGACGUCCAGGUUGGUCAAAUACAGAUAAGAUUGAUGGAAGCCUUUCACUUUCAAUGUCCACUUCAUUUCUACAAUGUUGUGGUCUUAACAUGAAGUUGUUGAAAUAAUGUGAACAAAAGUGAGUUGUCUCACGAUGCAAAUAAGAUGCACAAAUAGAUCCUUCUACCCUAGCCUUAUUCUUCACUGAUCGUUUAGCAUAUCCCAUGAAUCUAUAAUCAAAGAAAUAUGUUAUGAUUGAUAGUUAUAUUUCACAUUAAAUAAAGACUAAUUACUCUUAUUAUUACCUUUCAAAUGGGUACAUCCACCUAUAAUGGACAGGUCCACCAAGUUUGGCUUCAUAUGCUAGAUGGACAGGGAGAUGUUCCAUAGAAUCAAAAAAUGCCGGGGGAAAUAUCCUUUCCAACUUACAAAGAAUUAUUGGAAUGUUUUGUUCCAUCCUAGUAAGAUCAUCCUGAUUUAGUGUUGUAGAACACAAAUCUUUGAAAAAAUGACUUACCUCAAUAAUGGGAUUUAGAACAUGAGUUGGUAAGGAACUAAAUGCUAUGGGAAGUAGGCAUUCCAUGAAUACAUGACAAUCAUGGCUUUUCAUACCAAGCACCCUUCCCUUAUUGACAUUAGCACAUCUAGCCAAAUUUGAAGAAUAUCCAUCAGGCAUCCUAAGAUCUUUUAACCAUUGACACACAUGUUUAAUUUCCUCUGUUGCAAGUGUGUAAUUUGCUUUUGGCUUCAACAUCUUUCCAUUAGGAUGUGACUUCAGUUCCAAGUCUCUUCGCCUACAAUACAAACUUAAGUCCAUUCGUGCUUUGUCAUUGUCCUUUGUCUUCCCAGUCACAUUCAUGACAGUAUUAAAAAUGUUAUCGAAGAAGUUUUUUUCAAUAUGCAUAACAUCAAGAUUAUGUCUUAAUAUAUUGUCUUUCCAGUAUGGAAGNNNNNNNNNNNNNNNNNNNNNNNNNNNNNNNNNNNNNNNNNNNNNNNNNNNNNNNNNNNNNNNNNNNNNNNNNNNNNNNNNNNNNNNNNNNNNNNNNNNNNNNNNNNNNNNNNNNNNNNNNNNNNNNNNNNNNNNNNNNNNNNNNNNNNNNNNNNNNNNNNNNNNNNNNNNNNNNNNNNNNNNNNNNNNNNNNNNNNNNNNNNNNNNNNNNNNNNNNNNNNNNNNNNNNNNNNNNNNNNNNNNNNNNNNNNNNNNNNNNNNNNNNNNNNNNNNCAUGCAAUGUGGGCAUGCUAAUUUACCAUGAGUUCCCCAACCAGACAACAUACCGUAUGCAGGAAAAUCAUUAAUCGUCCACAUUAACAUUGCGCUCAUCAUGAAGUUCUCUUUCCUUGAAAUAUCGUAUGUUGGGACACCACUCCACAAUUUCUUCAAGUCGUCUAUCAAGGGCUCCAAAAAUACAUCAAUACCAGCCUUUGGAUUGAAUGGGCCUGGUAUGAGACAACUCAAAAACAUAUAAGGUUUAGACAUGCACAUUUCGGGAGGAAGAUUAUACGGGGUCACAAUUAUUGGCCAACAUGAAUAGGGUGCAUUUGAUGCUUGCACAUAUGGAUUAAAACCAUCAGAGCAUAAACCUAAUCGCACAUUGCGUGCCUCCACAGAAAAAUCGGGAUAUAUUGUAUCAAAGUGUUUCCAAGCCUCGCCAUCACAUGGAUGACGCAAAACACCAUUAUUGCUUCUGUUAUCAUAGUGCCAUGUCAUUUGUCCCGCAGUCUGUGUUGAAGCAUACAUUCUUUGCAACCUUGGAAUUAUUGGCAAAUAGAACAUUGCUUUUACAGGAACUGGUUUUUUGUUACUUGGUCUGGUGUUCUGGUGAUGAUACCUUGACUUGUGACAAAAUUUGCAUCGAAGCAACGCUCCAUCAUUUUUACCGUAUUCGUUAUCAUAGAAGAGCAUGCAACCAUCCACACAACAAUCAAUCCUCUUAGCCUGUAAUCCCAAUUUCGACACUAGCCUUUUUGCAUCAUAAUAACUUUUAGGCAAACCUAUUUUAGUAGGUGUUGCAUCUAAAAGCAUUUUUGAAAUAAACUCUAAGCAUUGGUCUGGAAUAUUCCAAUUGGAUUUGCAAGCUAAUAGUCGGACACACAUUGAUAAUUUGGAGUCAGAUGACCCUUUAUANNNNNNNNNNNNNNNNNNNNNNNNNNNNNNNNNNNNNNNNNNNNNNNNNNNNNNNNNNNNNNNNNNNNNNNNNNNNNNNNNNNNNNNNNNNNNNNNNNNNNNNNNNNNNNNNNNNNNNNNCACCAUGUCUUCCAUCAACCUAACUUGGUCAUUUUGUGACUGAAGGUGUGCACCUCCAAUUAUUUCCAAAGGCAUGCAAUUAUCGUUAUUAUCCAAGUCACCUUCUACCAUGUCUUCACCAUGAUCACUCCAAAUCCAAUAAUUAGAUUUGAAACCAUGUUUGUAGAGAUGAACCUUCACAAGUCUUUCCUCCAAAAUUCUUGUACAAUCACACUUAGUACAUGGACAUCGUAUUCCCCCAUCAUUCAGAUAACAUUCUUGUUGGCAAGCUUUGGUUAUAAACUCUUCAACUCCCAAUAUAAAAGUCUCUUUCAAAGCACCUCUUCCUCUAUAACACCUAUCAUACAUCCAUCCACGAUUUGAUGGAAACUGAUCCAUGUUCUGUUCAUAAAGCAAUUGACNNNNNNNNNNNNNNNNNNNNNNNNNNNNNNNNNNNNNNNNNNNNNNNNNNNNNNNNNNNNNNNNNNNNNNNNNNNNNNNNNNNNNNNNNNNNNNNNNNNNAGAGUUCGUGUUAGAAACGAACAUGUAAGAGUUUGUGUUACAAACUCUACCUAAAUCUUCUUUAGGUAUUAUAAUUAGUAAUAAAAAAAUAUUUUUCAUGCAUUAAAUUACAGAAUUUUAUACAUAAGAAAUCGUAAUGAGAAUUUACCCAAUGGCAAGAUAUUGGAUUGUAUUGACUUUUUGAAUUAUGGAUUUAUCACUUAUGCCUACAUUGACUCAAAUGAGGAAGUGAACCAUCAAAAAAAAGUUCACUGCUAUCAUUAUUUUAAAAUUAUCAAGUUUUAUAGCUAAUAAAUUCAUACAAAAAUUCAUUAAACCACAAUAACAGAAACAUAAAAAUAUACAUCAGCUCAUACAAUGUAUAAUGUAUCACUUUACAGAGACAAACUAAAGCCCUGCACAUUCCCAGCUCAAUAACCCAAAAAUAAACCAUAAACCAUGUAUGCCAAAAUAAACCAAAAAACCAGCAACUUCCUGCAAACAAAGAGAGCAGCAUACAAAAAAGUAGAUUCUCUUUUUUUCUACAAUUUUUGUUACAUAUUAAACAAAACCUGAACGGUUGCAGCGGUGGUGGCCGGAGGUCACACGGUGGUGGCGAAACCGAAAGAGAUCGUGCGUGCGGUGUGGCAGAUAGGGUUGCUGUUCGCUGGUGCUGUUCGCUGGAAAUGGGAUUGCUGUUCGCUGGAAAUGGGAUUGUUGUUCGCUGUUCGCUGGAAUUGAGGUUGUUGUUCGCUGGUGCCGUUCUGGAAAUGGAGUUGCUGUGCUUUAGGUUUUAGUGAAUGAAGAUGCGUGGAGGGAGCUGCUGAAGAAUACAUGGGCCAGUGAAAGUAAAGUGAACUUGGGCUUAGAAGAUUACGUUAAGGUGCCCGGUUUCAAUUAAAAUUCNNNNNNNNNNNNNNNNNNNNNNNNNNNNNNNNNNNNNNNNNNNNNNNNNNNNNNNNNNNNNNNNNNNNNNNNNNNNNNNNNNNNNNNNNNNNNNNNNNNNAUUUUAAUGAAAUAAUAUAAAUCACAUUUAAUUUUUUAUGUAAUUUAUUUUUAAAAUUGUUUAUUUAGUUAUUUUAAUUGAAUAUAAUUUAAAUAAAUAUUCAAUUACUUUAAGUAAUUCAAUAUAUUAACUUUAAAUAGUCAAAAAAAUAUUUUAUUGAAGUGAAGGUUGGCUGAGUGGAGAACUGUAGUGAAGUGGCUGGGGUUCAAACUCAAAUUUAACAUAUUCUUAAUUUUUUAUUUUUUUUCUCAAUUAUUUUGUUUUCUAAUUUUAAUGAAAUAAUAUAAAUCACAUUUAAUUUUUUAUGUAAUUUAUUUUUAAAAUUGUUUAUUUAUUUAUUUUAAUUGAAUAUAAUUUAAAUAAAUAUUCAAUUACUUUAAGUAAUUCAAUAUAUUUACUUUAAAUAGUAAAAAAAAAUAUUUUAUUGAAGUGAAGGUGGGCUGAGUGGAUAACUGUGGUGAAGUGGCUGAGGUUCAAACUCAAAUUUAACAUAUUCUUAAUUUUUUAUUUUUUUUCUCAAUUAUUUUGUUUUCUAAUUUUAAUGAAAUAACAUAAAUCACAUUUAAUUUUUUAUGUUAUUUAUUUUUAAAAUUCUUUAUCUGAUUAUUUUUAAUUGAAUAUAAUUUAUUAUUAUAAUUUAAAUAAGUAUUUAAUUACUUUAUGUAAUUAAUUAAUUAACUUUUAAAUAAUCAAAAUAAAAUAUAAAAUUAAAUUAAUUUAUGAUAUAACACACGUUAAGAUCACUUAUAUUUUUAUUUCUAUUUUCAAUAUUUUUUAUUGUUUUUUCUUUCUCAAUUUUAUUGUUUUUUAAUUUUAAUAAAAUAACAUAAAAUACGUUAACUCGUUAUUUCUAGUUUUUUAAUUAACUAAAUUUGUAAUAGCUUACAUACGGAUUAAAUCCGUAUCUAAGAAUUUAUAUUUUUAAUUAAAUUUUAAAUAACAUAUAUACGGAAAAUAUCCGUAUAUAAUUUUUUUUAAAAAAAAAAUUUACAUACAGAUCAAAUCCAUAUGUAAAUUAAAAAAAUUAAAAAUUUAAAAAAUAGUUACAUACGGAUAAUAUCCGUAUGUAAGUUUUUUUUAAAAAAAGUCGUUACAUACGGAUUUAAUCCGUAUGUAAGUUUUUUUAAAAAAUAAAAAAUUGUUACAUACGGAUUCCAUCCGUAUGUAAGAAUUUCUAUUUUUAAUUAAAUUUUAAAUAACAUAUAUACGGAAAAUAUCCGUAUAUAAUUUUUUUUUUAAUAAAACUUACAUACGGAUUUAAUCCGUAUGUAAAUUAAAAAAAAUUAAAAAUUUAAAAAAUAGUUACAUACGGAUAAUAUCCGUAUGUAAGUUUUUUAAAAAAAAGUCGUUACAUACGGAUUUAAUCCGUAUGUAUGUUUUCUAAAAAAAUAAAAAAUUGUUACAUACGGAUUCUAUCCGUAUGUAAUUUUUUUUUUUUUAAAAAAAUUCGUUACAUACGGAUUAUUAUCCGUAUGUAAAAAUCCGUAUGUAAUACUAACAUUACAUACGGAUCUGCAUACGUAUGUAAAAAAUCCGUAUGUAAUGUUGAAGUUAUAUACGGAUCAGAAUCCGUAUGUAAAAAUCCGUAUGUAAUGUCGGAGUUACAUACGGAUCAAAAUUCGUAUGUAAAAUCCGUAUAUAAUGUCUAUUUUAUAUACGGAUUUUGAUCCGUAUGUAAAAAACUGUAUGUAAUUAGCGAUUUUCUUGUAGUGAUUUUUAAUUUGAAUUCCAGUAGAGGCAAUCAUGGCUGGAGAAUAAUGAAAUUUCUCAUCACAACAUUCAAUAUGUUGAAUAAAUAAAAUGUAAUUGAUUUAAGAAAAAAUGUAAGAACCUACAAAAAAAAUAGCUUUACAGUUAAAUAAUAUAUUUUAAAUGAUACCUGAAUAUUAAUUAUUAAAGUGAAAAAUAUAUAUAAAUAAAAAAUCAGUUAUUCAUGUUUUAUUUUAAAGAAACCAUCCUCUCUAGAAAUUUAUUUUUUCCUUCCUCUGUCUUUUCUUUAACUUUUUGAACCCAUUUAUCACCAGACUGACGAUCGUAGUCCGUCAUUGAAUUCCUGGCAACGAAUAAUGCAAGAUUGUCUGAUCAGAGUUUUAGACAAAGUAAAUUCAUUUUUCCUCAUUCUUCCUUUGAGUCAGUUUUGAACUUUUUAUAUUAUCUCUAGUAUAGGCUUUGCAUGCAGUUUUUCUAGCUUCAGGAUUACUCCCUAUUAGUUUAUAGUCUUAAUGCUAUAGUUAGAUCUUUGAUUAAGACUAUGUGGUGCAAGUUAAGCUACCAUUGGGCUUUGUAGGAUUGAAGCUCUUUGUGAGCACUCCUACUUCUUUUUAGGUAAGAGAAAUUAGUUUUAAUUUUCAAUAGAACCCUAGGUUAGAAGAGUUGGAUGUGGGGGUGACGUGCUCACUAGUCUUAAAUUUUCUUGCAGAGUUGUUUGUUUUUUAGAAAAUUAUAGUGUUGAUUGAGAUUGAAAUGUGAAAUUGUAGAUUUUAUGUUGAUUUUGGUCUGAAUAAGUUAUUAAUGAUACUUUGUUUGAGAUUAAAAGUAUUGAAAGGUAGUAUAAAAUGAUUUGAAUUACAUUAUGACUAAAUUGAAGUAUAAAAGUUGUAUGUAAAUGUUUUGUAAAUCGUAAUGAUUGGAAUUGGUUUAGAAAUAAUAUAUAUAUAUAUAUAUGUUGACAUAGUAGCUCAUUGAGAGUACCUUUAUCAUUAUGAGUAAAGAAAUGUCAAUUUUAAUGUUGUAAGUUUAUGAAAAUACAUGUUUGAAUGUAAAUUUUGGUGAAAUAUGUUAAAUAGGUUAGAUUUUGAAAACUGUUUUUUGCAUGUCUCGCUUGAAUAAGGUGAAAAAAUAGGGUGUUCUCGGGUCCAUUUUAACUCAAGUGAGAGGGGAUCUCACUCAAGCAAAAAUAUAGUGAAAACACUUUUUUGUAUUGUAUUUUUUACACACACAAAUAAGGCUUUCUCAACAAUGCUAACCAAAAAAGGGAGAGGAGAUUCCCUUGAUGAACUUCUCUACAACAUUUAAAAUAGCAUAAUUAGAGCCAAGUGCGAAAUAGUUUUAACCCAACUGCCGAACUUAUCAUAAAAACCAAACUUAUAUAUAAUAAAGAGAAGAAAAUCUCAAUUGAGUGUCAAAAGUCUUCUUUAUAUUAAUUUUCAUAGCUACAUUAUCUCCUUUUUAACAUUAGUAGUAAUCAUAUUAAUGACCUUUGAUGAAAUACAAAUAUUAUAAUUAAUUUUCCUUCCUUAACAAAACCAUUUUGAUGAUGGUUAAUAAUACGACUAAAAAUACCUUCACCACCUUGUUUUUUUAGAAACAAAAGAUAUAACAAUAGAGUUUAUAUUAGGAAGAAUCCAAUUUUGAGAGAAAAAUUACUUAACAACUUUACGAGAAUAAAAAAAAAAAGCUUUUGAAAUCAUCAAGACAAGAAGUACUAUUAAAAUUAAGAUUAAAAAUUACAUUCUUUUUCUCUUCUUAGUAGACCCAACAAUAAAUAAAUUAUUUUCUAAAGUUAUGUGUUACAUUCAUGACAUAUGGAUAGUAGUAAAUAUUUACAAAUUUCUUGUAUUAAGUUUGUUGAGACCACUAUAAGUCAUGGUAAAGCAUUGAUUGAUAGGGAAUUAGGAAUUACUAGCACUGCACUACAAUAAAGACUUGAAUGAAAGUAUUUUUAGUGGUAAGUAAACGUCUGCAAUAAAAGUCUAGCCAAACAAAAAGAAAUUGUGACCUAAAUUAAAUUUAACCAUUUUUUAUUUUUCCUUAUUCAUAAAAUAAUAAUUAUAGUUUUAAAAAUAAAAUCUCUUACUUUUUAAAACCAAUACAUGUAUUUUAGUUUUUAUUUAUUCAUAUAUCAAAUAAUUAUAUAUAAUCAAAUUUUAUUUCAUUAAUAUGAAUUAAAUUUUAAAAUACAUAUUUUAUUUAUUUAUUUUGUUUUAAAUUUUUAAAGUGGGCCAAAAGGGCUCAUUAACCCAACAUAAUGCUGGGUUAAUCCGAAAAAUUGAUAUCUGUUCAGAAAAUAAGUUAGACCGAUGGGUGUUUCUUUAUGCACUCCAACAACUUUCUUCCUGAACCCAUCAUUUAUAAAAAGAUCGAUUUACCUCUUUUAAAAAUGAGUUCCAGAUUACUCUUUCUAGAAUGUUUUUGGAACAUACUUUCUGAAAAACAUUUUAUGAAUUUUGGAUUUACAAUUUCAUAAGUAAAAAAAUGUAUUUCAGAAUGAUAUUUUUGUCUUCCAAAUUUCCUAUUUCAGAAACACAAUUUUGCUUACAAAAUACCUUUUUUUCAGAAUUAUCCAAAACUAUCAAGAAUAAUUUGAAUAUUUUAAAAAAUAUAGGGAUGUAGGAAGAAACACCUAGACUGAUUUCAAUACAAGUUUUUAAGUGAUCAAUUGGGUUGAGCUGACAUGUUAUAUAACUCUAUGUCUUAUUAGAGUUGUUGUCUUUUCAAUAUUUUUUAAUCUAAGGUUUUGAUUACCUUAGAAAAUAUGUAGUGUGAAUAAUUAUAUAUAUAUAUAUAUAUAUAAUUAUUUCUAGGAUUGAAAUCAAAUAGAUUAGUUCUAGAAGGGAGGAAGUUGAAUAAAACUUUAUAAUGUUUUUCAAGAUGUGAUCAUAUACUAUUUGAAAAGGAUUUUAGCAUCAAACACUACUACUAAAAAUUAUUAAAAAGAAAUCAACUUUAGGUGCAAAAAAUAAUUAGUUGCUAUUGACUAAAUUAGAUAGUUAAAAUCUAAAUAAUUGAUAGUUAAAAUCUUGAUAACUAAUUAGAUACUAAUUUUAAAACUAUUUGUCAAUAAUAGAAACUAAUUUAGAUACCAAUAAUAUUUUUAAUCUCUAAAAUAAUAUUUAAUUUGAUUAAUAUAGCAACUAAUUAUUUUUUAUUUUUAAAAUUGGAUUUUAUUUAAUGAUUUUCUUUUUACGGGAAUUCAUGAGCAAACAUGCCAAUGACUUCAAAACAAUAUGACAAUUUAAACUGAAUUUAUAUAUGUGGCUUCUUAUGUUCUAUUGAGACUUGCAUAUUCUAUUGUAUGAUCAGUCAAAGAGUGUCAUCUAAGAGUCAUAUGAGACAAAAUAAAACAAUCAAAUGACUUGACAAAAUCUAAGCUUCUCAACACAUGACGUUCUUACAAUUCUUCAUUAUGUACAUCCUUAAUAGAGAUACUAGUUUACCAAAAUGUAGACAUUAUUUAUUAUGAUUUAUUGUUGAAAUCAUUAGUUUUUGCCUGUACUAUUUUUGUCUAUUAAGACCAAAUUGUCUUAAUUUAAUUGGUUGAGAUUAAACUAUUAGAUAAAAUUGUCGAAUGGAGUCUAAAAUUAACAAAGAGAACCUUAAUCUGAGUGUGUAAGAUGACAAACCAGAGGGUGUGUGCAUAUUGUCCUGGUGUCUCCACUCCAUAGUUGCAUUGCAACUUUUAUCUUUUGGAUUGUAUGUUAUGCAAUCCCUUCCUUAAUUGAGAUACUAUUGGUUUUGCUUUUACUCAUAUGUUAUUGUUUCUUAGGUUACAAUGCUAUAUUUUAUUUCUAACUAGCAUGUAUGAUUAUUACUAGUUUAAAGUAAAACUUAUUGGACUUAUGUUAGACGCUCAGAAACAAGAAAAUUUUAGCUCUAAACUUUUAACUCUAAUUAAGAGAUUUAUUUAAAAGUGAACUUUGAACGAUUACAUUAACAAUCUCAUGCAACAAAAGUGGAUCGUUACAACAAGAGGUUUUUGAUGACCUUGGCACAUGUAGAAUCCACUAAUUUUAAAAUGUUAUGAUAUUGAAACAUUCAAGGAUCCAUUGAUUGGUGUGACACUUGUCUUCAAUACUUUUGGCUUGAAAAUAUGAGAAUUGUUAUGCUUUAAAGCUUUGAAAUAGCAUAUGUAGGAAGAUUGUUAAACCUUUUAGGAAGUUCCAAAUCUUCCCAUUCUUCAUCCUCAAGCUUAGUGAAGUAACGGUCGAUAUCUCUAUCACUAAGAAGCUCCAAUUUGGAAGGUUCCCACUGAAAAAGACAUCAUCAAUAUGAUAACCAAAAUAUAACUUUUCAAUAAAAUUAAUUUACGUGUAGGAAUGUUCAUGAUGAAAUGGGAAACGGUUAUACAGAAUCAAAAGAUCAGAUUAGCUACCCACCUUUGGGUUCCUGUCCUUAUCUAACAGUAUAGCCCUACAACCCUGCAGUAAAGCAUAACAAUAAGCAAGCCAUGAAAGAAAAAUAAUCUAAAACAACCAUGGAUAAGAAUUAUCAGAUACCUCAAAGAAAUCCUUGCUGUAGUGUCCUUUGAGAAUAUGACAAACAGUUCUAUAUUCAAGAACAAGGCAUGGACCAAUACCCAGGAGCCUGACUUCUCUAAUCUGAAAAUGGCAAUAGGAAAAGAUAAAAGUUGUUAUAAUUACAAUAAUGAUAUUAUGACGAUUACUUUGAUGAUGAUGAUGAGAUGAUAACAAUCAUAAGCAAGUUCAAAGAUUAUGAUGACAUUUGCUAGAAAAGAGAAAAUUCAUAAAAAGUUAUAUUUGGUUCAACUCAUUCUCAAGAUGUAAUCACUUAUUUUUCCUAAAUUUCUUAAAGAACUCUAAGAAAUGAGCAAUUAUUGCUUGAAAAAUAAACUUAACCAAACAGGCAUUCUAUAGGACAGAUGUAAAUCAAGGUCAUAAAAUUGACUAUAUCCCUAUCCAUGUAUUAUGUUUCCAACAAGAAGUUGCAAGAAUAAAAAAUUGCUAAUUGCAACAAAUUGGCUACAAUAUCAACCUUGUGGCAAUAUCACUACUUGGCAAGACUUGGAAAUGUAUCACAACUCAUGUGAACGAUAUAUGUACUAAUCUUUAUUACUUGUGCAAACAGUGCACUUGAAAGUGUUUCCUUCAAACAUUUUUCAACUGAGCCUCUCUUUCAACGUUUGCAAAGUUUUAAAAGAAAGAAUCCAUUAAACUCCUAUUGUGUUUUUUUGGAUUAGCCUCAUGCAGGCUUGACUUUCUACAUUCCCUACUAGCUAUGUUAUUCUUGCCCUAGCUAUAGACUGACAGUUGUUGCUACUGAAGAAAGUACAAAAGAAUUAUCUUUAGUCUAGUGCUACGGGUAUGACAUGUCACCAGUCCAUGAGUUAGGAGGUUUGUUGUUGUUUAAAGGAGGAGGGGUACGGGUCUUGACAAAUUGGUUUCUAAGAACAUAUUGUUAUGAAUAGGUCUUAUUGAAAUAAAGGAAAAGAAAAAAUAGGAUAAAUUUCCUUGUGUUUAUUGGACAUAUAAGGUUAUGUUUAUAUAGAAAAAAUAUACAAAAAAUAUGGGCUAAGUCCAUUACAUAAAUAGAAAUAUCUAACAAUAUCUACAAUAUCUAACCAUAUCUAUAACAUCUAACACUCUCCCUCAAGCUGGUGCAUAUAAUUCGUAUACACCCCAACUUGUUACAAAUAUAAUCUUAGGCCCUCAUAAGGAAUUAGUAAAAAUAUCUACUAAUUGAUCAUUUGAGUUAACAAACUCAGUCUUGAUAUCUCCCGAUACAAUCUUUUCUUGAAUAAAAUGACAAUCAAUCUAAAUAUAUUUGGUUCUUUCAUGAAAAAUUGGAUUUGAGUUAACAUAUAAGUGUCAUUUGAGUGACUUCUACAAAUUGUAAUUCUUUAAGUAAUUAUUUAAGCCAAAUAAACUCACAAGUAGCUGAGGCCAUAACUCUAUAUUAUGUUUCUGCACUGGAUCUCGCCACAACACUUUGUUUCUUGCUCUUUCAAGAGAUCAAGUUAUCACCAAUGGAGACACAAUAUCUAGAAGUUGAUCUUCUAUCGGAUAGAGAUGCUACCCAAUCAACAUCUAUUAAUAACAGAAGAAUUUAGUUUGGUUAUUAGGACAAUAUAAACAAACCUUUUCCAAGAAAGCCUUUAAUGUACUUUAGUUUGCGAAUGACAGCAUUCCAAUGGUCUUAACAUGGAGAAUUAAGAAAUUGACUCAUCACACUAACUAUAAAAAGAAAUAUUAGGACGAGUAACAGUAAAAUAGUUCAAUUGCCCAACUAACCAAUCUUCUGUACUCCUCAAGAACUAAGAGAGGUUCCCCCUAAUUGGUUAGAAGUUAGACAUAGAGAUCCAUGGGUGUAUCAACAAAUUUCGAAUUCAUCAACCCAGUUUCCUCCAAAAUAUCCAAUGCAUAUUUUCUUUGAGAGAUAACAAUACCAGUAUUAGAUUGUGUUACCUCAAUUCCCAAGAAAUAUCUGAGUUUGCCAAGAUCUUUAGUCUGAAAGUGUUGAUAAAGGUGUUGUUUUACCAACAAGAUGCCAUGUUGAUAACUGCUUGUAAGAACAAUGUCAUCAACAUAUACUACGAGAUAGAUACUCCCAACACUAGUGUGACGAUAAAAAACUGAAUAACCUGCUUCACUACAAGUCAUACCAAACUGUCGAACAACAUUGCUAAAUUUUCCAAACAAAGUCCAAAGAGACUGCUUGAGACCAAAUAAGGAUUUGCAGAGAUGACAUACCAAUCCAGGAGAAUCCCCCUAAGCAACAAAGUCGGGAGGUUGCUCCAUAUAAAUUUCUUCCUGCAAAUCUCCAUUAAGAAAGACAUUUUUAACAUCCAGUUGAUAGAGACCAUUGUUAAAGAGCAGCCAUGGCUAUGAAUAAGCAAACAAAAGCCAUUUUUGCCAUCAGAGAAAAACUAUCACCAUAGUCUAAAACAAAAAUUUGGGUAUAACCCUUGGCCAUAAGGUGGUGGCUCCGACAAAGUUCCAACCACGAAUCCGACGACGUUCUGCGAGAUGGUGGUGGGGCGACUAGAAAACACCGGUGAACGGUGGAUUUACCAGAAAAAAUUGAACCCUAACCGUAUCUUCUGAUACCAUCUUAAGAAGUGGAUUUUAAGCCAAACUCAACCUUACAAAAUCAUCUUAUAAGGUGAGGUUUGCACCCACUUAUAUACUAUGAAAUGUCCUUAUCUCUAGUCGAUAUAAGAUCUCCAACACACCCCCUCACACCGAGACCUGUCAACUCGUUCGUGGGACUAUAUAUUAAUGGGUGGUUCAAUUGCAAACCGAUAGCAAGUGACCUGAUAAGCCCAACAAACUCUAGUUAUGAUAGGUUUUAAAUGAAUUUGAUACCAUAUUGAAAUAAAAGAAAAGAAAAAAUAGGAUAAAUUCCCUUGUGUUUAUUAGACACAUAGGGUUAUAUUUAUAUAGAAAAGAACAAACAAAAAAUAUGAGCUAAGACCAUUACAUAAAUAGAAAUAUCUAACAAUAUCUAUAAUAUCUAACCAUAUUUAUAAUAUCUAAUAAUAUCUUAUAAUAUCUAACAAGUCUAAAAGUAAUAGCCAAAUAGAAGAAGGAUUAGGGGCUCCAAAUGCAAGGCACAAAAGUAAUGCCACGGGGCCAAAGAAAUGGCAUGACUUUCUCCCAUAUUGAGAAGCUUCCAAGGAUUGAAUGACUCAACAAGUAAUUAUUGUUAGAAUUCGGUUAUGCACUAUUGGUGGAUUUUGUUAGAUAGCUUUCCUGUUAGAGUGCCUUUAUAUCCCCUUGUACUGUUCGUUAGGAGGGAGGAAAAAUAUAUCAUAUUGUCUCUUCCUUAUCUUUCAUAUUUCUGGAGGUUCUUUGUCCUUGAAACAGAGCUCGUUUCUUAUUAAUUGUUCUAGAAAGUAAAUGGUUAAUGUGUUUUCCUUCUCUUUUCAAUGGCAUAAGGUUAUCCAGAGAAUUCAGCCUGAUUGCAAAAGGUGAUAUUGUGCAAUGCCUAGCUCAAAAUCAGACCAUAUUCAUACGUUGUUAUAUAUUUGUUCCUUUAUCAAUUUCUUCACAUCCCCAUGUGAAGAUGACGGAGGUUCCCUGGGUCCUUGGACUAACUUUUGUUUAUUAGCUACUAGUUUUAGUAGAAGUAAAGGAGCUAGAAUAGUGAUAUCCUCAAUAUGUGUUAACACUUUGGUGAUCUGAUUGAAACUAAUUUGGAUGAGCAACUUGGGAUAUGAAGUUGAACAAAUUUAAAAACAAUAUCUUUAAAGGGAAGUCGUUUAUAGAUUCAGAAGCAUUUUUCUCUCUUCCUUUUUUGAAGUAUUCUUAUCCUCUUAACUCUUUGCUAUUAUCUCCUCUUGCUCUUUAUGAAUUCAUUCUGUUAUAUAUUAAAAACACUACAAAUAUACUUGGAAGUUUGGAACAGGACAUAUAGAAGAGAAAUGAACAUUAGAAUGUACAUGAAACAUAACUUAUAAUUCCUUCAGGACACAUACCAAUCUAAGAAAGAUUUUCAGGCUUGUUGGAGAUGCUUUCUUUAACGCUUGAACAGUUUCAGAAAUCCAAUGAUCAGCCUUACCCAUAGUUUCUAUCUCCUAAAACAGCAAGACAAAAUUCAGGUAGUUAAAUGGAAUAGGUUCAUCCUUCAUUACGCUAAAGAAUAUUAAUCAGAUACUUUCAAUGGCAUAACUCACACAACUUACAAGAGAAGAUAUUAUUCCCUCAAUUGAUUUUCUUGAGAAGCACUUGUUGAUCACAUCCAUCCUGCAAUGACCCACCACAAAAAGAUAUAAAUGAGAAAUAUACAAGACUAAGCUAGUGUGCUAUGUUUCAAUUAUUGAAAAAAAACUAUUAGAAAUCUAUAAUGAGAAGAAAAGAAUGUUCCUCAAAUGUUCUGAAACUGAAAAGUGUUGAAAUAUGGUACAAAUAUUGCAAAUAUGGUACAAUAAAUAUAAAUUGAUUGGAUAAUAAAUAUAGAUUUGUUUGUAAGAAAUCCUUAAAAUUAAGGGAUUGAGAUUACAAGUUAGUUUAGUAGAUUUGCUCCAGAUUUAGAGUCUUUGGAGAUUUAUUUCUUUUGUUUCAGGAGAUUUAUUUCCUGUGUUUUAGGAGAUUCAUUUUCUUUUACUAGUAUUUCGUUUUUCACUUAAAUACCAAUGUAAUGCUUUUUUUAGAUCAAGAAAAGUAAUUCCAUAAUUAUUGUUUAUAGCCUACAUUUUUCUUCACACAGUAUCAGAGCUCCAGGUUUUUUGUGGAGCCCUGGUCUCUCUUUUUACCACUUUGGGCCUUCGUUGCCAUUUUAUCUUCAAGAGGGUGCAGCCUUAAUUGUUGCAGUUUCAUUGUGACAACAGUUGUUUUCUCUUUGUAAAAUCACCCAUUAGACAACCAGUUGCUGAUUUGCAUCUCCAUGAUGUCUGAUCCAAAAUCAACAUACGGAGGAUUCAAUAUUGAGGAGAUAAAAAGACUGAAAGACCUACCGGGAACACUUUAGAAACCCUUUGAAUUGUACUCUCUUGCUCUCUCAGGUAAUGUUUCUUGUAUGAGUGUCUCACAUAGUGCUAUGGAUGACAUGACAUACUCGCCUCAACUCUUUCAUUCUUGUUGCUAAUGGCUCUUUAGCUACAGUUGCAGGAGAUGGAGAUAUCUCUUUAUCUUCCAAACUUACUCUUAAAAAUGUUUUGCAUGUCCCAAAACUUUCAACAAGUUUUAUCUCCUUAAAAAAACUAACAUAUGACCCGAAUUGCUUUGCAAUGUUUUCCCCAUUUUUGUGUGUUUUAGUCGGGGAGGAGGAUCAGCCUUGCUAAGGAAAGAAUUGGACUUUACUACCUAGAACCAUCUCAAGAAUCCAAAGCUGACUAACCCAUGUCUCUACCUAGCGUAUCAAAUAAAGACACUCUUUGGUUAUACUACUACGCUUAGGACAUCCAUCAUUUUCUGUUUUAAAAAUUAUGAGGCUUGUGAAUUAACUAAACACACUCAUGUACAUUUUCCCAUUAGCAAUAAUAGAAACUCACAACCUUUCCAAUUAAUCCAUAGAGAUAUAUGGGGACCAUAUAUUCUACCUAAUAUCUCUGGGGUGCAUUGGAUUGCACUAGGGUUACUUGGUGCUAUUUGCUUAAACAAAAAUCUGUCAUGAGAACUGUUAUUUCCUUUUUUAUUCAAUGAUUCAAAAUCAAUUCGGGGUCAACAUAAAAUGACAAUGCUAGGGAUUAUUUUAACCAAAUUGUGUCUACUUAUUUUUAAUCCAAAGGGAUUAUUCAUGACUCUUCAUGUCUCUAUACUUCCCAAUAGAAUGGAGUGACAAAGAGGAAAAAUAAGCACUUGCUUAACACCAGUGGAGCAGUUCUCUUUCAAGAGAAAGUUCCAAAAACAAAGUUGUCUUCACUGUUGCAUAUAUGAUAAAUAGACUUCCCUCACACUAGAGGAACAAAGUCCUCUUGAAACCCUUAAAAGAAAAUUCCCUGACAUUAAGAUCUCAAAUGGCCUCAUUACUGGAAUAUUUGGGUGCACAACUUUUGUACUACUUGAUCCCUGGGAUGUUAGAUGUGUCUUUCGUGGUUAUUCAACAACUCAAAAAGGUUACAAGUG
rnacentral:lncRNA from 1 species